rnacentral:tRNA from 2 species
CGGGAUGUAGCUCAAACGGCUGGAGCGUCCGCGCGACAUGCGGAAGGCUGCGGGUUCGAGUCCCGCCAUCCCGA